UCCACGACCUUCCUGGUGCAUUUUUGGGUUCAUGCCCAUCUCUGAUUGAGACUUUUAUAUAUCACUGCCUCUAUCAUUAAGUCAAUUACAGGUGGGUCCACAAGUAAAGAAUGGUUUCCAAUCCAGUGAACCCUGGAUAUAAUCAAGCUCCGAUGAGGUGCUUUGUUUCUUCUUUCUAGAACAUCACGACUUGUUGAGCAGCAAGGAACCAAAGAUUUCUGCCAGCACAUGUACUGAAUGGGGAAUAUGAACUCCCUCGGCUGAACUCCAAAUAAAUCACUGAGACUGAUAAAUAGGUGCACUCCUAGAUUUGGGCAUGAUACCAGAACUGCACAGUGGCCUGUUUGUUUUCUCAGUCUCCUGCUCGAGAUCCCAACCAAGCUUAAGAUAUGCAGUCUGGCAGCAUCUUCAUUGCUAUAUUUUUAUUAAUGCUCUUGGCUUCCCCAGGCGAUGCCUACACAGCAGGGAAGCUGAUAAAGACUGAAGAGGACUGCAGUCUUGCUAAGGGCUUUUGUACAUCUGAACCGGAGUGCAAUACACCUUACCCCUCCCUGGGAUCCUGUGGGGGAAAUAACUUAUGUUGCUUGGCAUUUGGUGGGAAAUGAUGGAGAGAGACAUACCACAUCCAGCAACAACAAUGGCUUCCACUUAAGGAACGUGGAUUUACUGUCGCUUGGCCCUUAGAAAGUGCAAAAAUGAGACAGAGCUCCUAUUGCACAGAUAUUUUAUUUAAAACAAUGAAAACUGGACCCUAGUUUCAAUAAAUAAUGGAAUAUGUGUGUGGAGCUGUUUCUU
rnacentral:lncRNA from 1 species